rnacentral:lncRNA from 1 species
CAGUCGAGCCAGCGAGGAAUUCGUCACGAAAUCGGGUUGGGAUAAACAGCUGGUGAAGGAAUCUUACGAAUGGGUUGAAUCUAAAAUCAUUACUAAACCUGAGCUGACAACGUGGCAAGCCGCUGUCAGGGCUGGAUAAACCUGAGCUGACAACGUGGCAAGCCGCUGUCAGGUCUGGAUUCCUUGAAGCGGGAAUCCUUCCCGACAACGGAUUCACCUGGGAACACAUCCAAGGAACGAAGAUUGGCGGGUCGACCUUUGAUUCACAGAACAAGAGACAUACCUCUGCUGAUCUUCUGCAGAUGG